rnacentral:rRNA from 1 species
AACACAUGCAAGUCGAGCGAGGUAUUUAUACCUAGCGGCGGACGGGUGAGUAACACGUGGGUAACCUGCCUCAGAGAGGGGAAUAGCCUUCCGAAAGGAAGAUUAAUACCGCAUAAUAUAUACUUUCAGCAUUAUGAGUAUAUCAAAGGAGCAAUCCGCUUUGAUAUGGGCCCGCGGCGCAUUAGCUAGUUGGAGAGGUAACGGCUCACCAAGGCGACGAUGCGUAGCCGACCUGAGAGGGUGAUCGGCCACAUUGGAACUGAGACACGGUCCAGACUCCUACGGGAGGCAGCAGUGGGGAAUAUUGCACAAUGGGGGAAACCCUGAUGCAGCAACGCCGCGUGAAUGAUGAAGGCCUUCGGGUCGUAAAGUUCUUU